UAAUCCUCAAGGUGGUGGUACCUAGAUCC
rnacentral:piRNA from 1 species